rnacentral:rRNA from 1 species
UACGUAGGGGGCUAGCGUUGUCCGGAAUCACUGGGCGUAAAGGGCGCGUAGGCGGCCAUUCAAGUCAGAGGUGAAAGCCCAAGGCUCAACCUUGGAACUGCCUUUGAUACUGUUUGGCUUGAGACCGGUAGAGGUAAGUGGAACUGCGAGUGUAGAGGUGAAAUUCGUAGAUAUUCGCAAGAACACCAGUGGCGAAGGCGGCUUACUGGACCGGUUCUGACGCUGAGGCGCGAAAGCGUGGGGAGCAAACAGG